GAUGAACGCUAGCGGGAGGCCUAACACAUGCAAGCCGAGCGGUAGAGAUUCUUCGGAAUCUUGAGAGCGGCGUACGGGUGCGGAACACGUGUGCAACCUACCUUUAUCUGGAGGAUAGCCUUUCGAAAGGAAGAUUAAUACUCCAUAAUAUAUUGAUUGGCAUCAAUUGAUAUUGAAAGCUCCGGCGGAUAGAGAUGGGCACGCGCAAGAUUAGUUAGUUGGUGAGGUAACGGCUCACCAAGACGAUGAUCUUUAGGGGCCUGAGAGGGUGAUCCCCACACUGGUACUGAGACACGGACCAGACUCCUACGGGAGGCAGCAGUGAGGAAUAUUGGUCAAUGGGUGCAAGCCUGAACCAGCCAUCCCGCGUGAAGGACGACUGCCCUAUGGGUUGUAAACUUCUUUUGUAUAGGGAUAAACCUACCCUCGUGAGGGUAGCUGAAGGUACUAUACGAAUAAGCACCGGCUAACUCCGUGCCAGCAGCCGCGG
rnacentral:rRNA from 1 species